CACGUAGGGCGCAAGCGUUGUCCGGAAUUAUUGGGCGUAAAGAGCUCGUAGGCGGUCUGUCGCGUCGGCUGUGAAAUCCCGAGGCUCAACCUCGGGUCUGCAGUCGAUACGGGCAAACUAGAGUAUUGCAGGGGAGACUGGAAUUCCCGGUGUAGCGGUGAAAUGUGUAGAGAUCGGGAGGAACACCGGUGGCGAAGGCGGGUCUCUGGGCAAUUCCUGACGCUGAGGCGCGAAAGCGUGGGGAGCAAACGGG
rnacentral:rRNA from 1 species